GUCCUGCCCUCUCCCCUGACUCCCUCCUGGCGUCACUCAGCUGAGAGGAGGAACCGGGCGCUGUGCCAGGGGGACAGGAGCACCUGAGCCUGCUCAGGGCCUGGUUGGCAGGGGGCGCCCAGGGUGGGGAAGAGUGCAGCUCAGGAGCCCGGGCCGGGGCUGGUGCCCAGAGGGGAAACGGCCAGGCGGGUCCGUGGCGAGGGAUGAGGGCGUGAAUCGGCGGCAGAGAGGUCGGCUGCUGGUGGGUCAGGAGCCGGGAUGGACGGGAUGGACCCGCUGGGCCUGCUCUGCUGGAGGCCUGCCCGCGAGGACUUCAGUCCCCACCCGCGGCGGGGCCAGGGGCAGGGUGACUCAGCACUUCCUCUUAGUGACUAAGGCCAACCCGGGCCCAGCCAGCAGGGCUGCGCUGCUCAGGCACCUGUCCUCCUGGCCCCUGGCUCAUUGUAUGUGGCACAAGGGAUGUACAGUCACCCCAGGAUUAAUGGUCUUUCCUUUCUUUUUUAAACUUGGGCCCACAGCCUGAACUGGGCCGGCUCUGGGCUGGCGCCAGCUACUUCAUCUGCUCUUACUCAUCAGUAACCUUCACUGGCGAUCGAUCGCUAGGCGCCAACUUGUGCGAAAAACUUCCUGGGACUUUCUCAGAAGCAGCCACGAGCUGUGAUGUUCCCAGAAACUAACCCUGAACCUGACCGCCUACCUGGCAGGUGAGACGUGUGAUCCCUGAACCGCCAGAUCUUUCCAGUCUAGAGUAAGAGAAGGACAUGAACUGCACGACUCAUCUGGUUAAGCUCACCUUUCUGUGGAAAUGAAAGACACAGCCCCGAACCAGAGUUCAGCUAUAGCUACUGGCGAUCGCUAAGCUAAUUCAACAGCUACAGCCACGGAAACGUCGCCACGGCCGCCGAGGGGAAUUCGGGGAAAAGCUCUUCACCGGGAUUUCUGCAGCCGCCAGCGCCCGCUCUCACCCACGCCGCUCCUCGCCUCUGUUAGC